rnacentral:tRNA from 1 species
GAACCGGUAGUUCAACCUGGUAGAAUGCCCGCCUUGCACGCGGGAGAGAGCUCGAAAAAAGCUCCCCAAAGUCGGGGGUUCAAAUCCCCCCGGUCCA